rnacentral:lncRNA from 1 species
AAUAAACUUUUCUAAUUCAGAAAAUUAUACUCUCUUGAAAGUCACAAGGCUAGAGAGUCCAAAGACUCCCUCUAGCCACCUUUCAAAGCACACUUCCUAUUUUUCAUUUUUCCAAUUACUUCACCGUGCUUCUCUCUCCUCCACGGAGAACCAAUACUUCGCUGCCACAUAGCUCUCUGCCUGCAUCAGCACCUCACUUUCAACUUUAAAUUUCACACAUUCCACAGGCCAUUUCCUUUCUCCAGCGUCAUUCCUCGAGAGCUCCAUUUCCUCUCUCGAGUUCAUCGUCGCCAGCUAGUUUUUCACCGUAGCUCACCAUUUUCUCCACAGAUCUGUCCAUUUCUUCACAGUUUAAUCAUCUCCGGUCACUUUACUUCCACUUUCACCGAUUACUUUCCAUUUUCUACCGUUUGAAUCACUUUCCACCGAUUAAUCUAGCUUCUCCACCG